ACUUUGAUGACUCUGGAAAUCAGAAGGAGACUGAAGACUUCAUGCAGCUCUGUUCAUUUAAGUCCAAUUCCUGCACAAGUCAAAACAGCACCCUGUGGUGUGACUGACCCUCUUCAAAAAUGAAGGACAAACAGCAACUCUAAAACCAAGCCAAACUGAAUGUUCUGCCAUCACCUACUGUAUGAAUUCAGGAACUACUGAAUAUUAUCUUAACGUUUUGUCCCACUACUACUCAAGACAGUCAUCUGCACAAUCCUUACCCAGAAAAUGCAAGUGCUCUAUGAAUCCAAAGCUUCUCCAGGAACAAUUGAUGUGUACCUGCUUCACAGAAGACAAAUGGUCCAAGAGAGCAAGACCCUAAGAGCUUAAGUGGAAAACACUGAGGUGGAGUCAAGAUGGCGGCCUAGAAGGAGCAGAAGUUCAGAUCUCUGAAUACCCUUCCCUACUGAUCACAAACUGAAUGCUUCUAGGGGACUGAAAAUCAAACCUAACAAGACAAAGCCGAGGAACCCUCCUGGUGGACUCAAUUCAAAAGGUACAUUCCCCCCCCCCAAAAAAAAAGCCAGAAUCCAAGAACACUCGGGUUUAAGGGGAAGGCAGAAGAAAGGUCCCAGGAC
rnacentral:lncRNA from 1 species